AUGAUCGAUCUCCGGCGGUCUUCUCCGUCUCUCCGUGGCGGCGCGGCGCCUAUGUACAAGUCAGCGCGCUGGCUUCAGAGCUCACUGGAAGCCGCCCAGGCCGUUGAGCAGCAGCUCGUGCGGGCGCAGCAGGGUCGGGGUGGCCGCCAGCGGCAGCGGGGACGGGUAGGACAUGUCGUAGUCGGAGGCGUCCGGGAGGUCGGCCCAGAGCGCGUCGCCGGGCAUGAGCGGGGCGCGGCAGAGCGGGCAGGUGCGCUGCCCGUGGCCCAUCCAGCGGUCGAUGCAGCCGCGGUGGAAGACGUGGCGGCAGUUGGGCAGCCGCCGCACCUCGUGGCAGCCGCCGAUGCCGCAGAGGCAGACGGCGCAGUCGCCGUCGCCGCACACGGACGGGGAGGACGCCAGCAGCUCGUCGAACCGCAGCACGGGGAGCGCCUCCUCGACGGCGGCCAUCGGCGGCAGCGCGCGGAAGUCGGGCCGCCGGUGCUGCAGCGAGGGCGAGGGCGAGGGCGCCGGUCGGUGGUGCGCGUGCCACUGCGCCUCCUCCGCCGUGGGCACGGGCGCGCUGCCGCCGAGGUCGAUGAGGUCGCCCAGGCCGACGGCGUGGAAGGCCCAGAGGAGGAGGCGGUGGAGGUGGCCGAGGAGGAGGAGCGCCUGCAGGAGCAGCCGGGGGAGCAGCAGCUCCGAGUACCCCACGGGGAAGCCCAUGGCGUCGAUCUUGGCUGGCUCGGGGCGUGCGAGGCGUGCGCGCGUGUCGCGGAGCAGGGCGGAGGCAGGCGAGUCGGGAGAGGCCGGGUGACACACUCACACAGUGGCAGUGGGGCUCUUAUAUAA
rnacentral:rRNA from 1 species